rnacentral:pre_miRNA from 1 species
CUAUGUGUGUGGAUGGUGUAUGUUGCCAAUGACAGCUGUGUUUACCUGUGUGUUGAUGGCAUUAAACACCAGGGACAGGUAUGUUUACCU